UAAUUCUUUUUAGGAGCUUCCUGAAGUGCCAGAUCUAGAUAUUAACUUAGAAAAUGGUACUCAACUUGUGGAACUUGGACAAGUCUUUAGUAUUGUGGAAAUGUUAGUUGUUGUAAAAGCCUUUCCUCAAACACCCACCUUGGAUUCAGAUAGCGUUCUAUUCUUGGAGAACAGAUCUUGCCUGGGGCUGGUUUUUGAGACAUUUGGUCCAGUACAGACACCAUUUUAUUCUGUGCGAUUUAACAAGGAGUCAGAUAUCAAUGACAAAGGUGUUUGCAGGGGGAGAUAAA